UGGGAGGGGCAAGCAGGGAGGGCGCGUGCGCGUGCGCUUGUGUAGGCGCAGGGAUCUCGCACCUGCAGCCGAAUUACAGCAGGGGGAGGGUCGGGCUGGGCUGAGGCGACGAAGUUCUCUCUUAGGGUGGCGGCAGCAGCAGCAGGAGGGGGAACAGGGUGGCUGCAGCAGGAGUGAGUGGAGUGCCUGCAGUGGAAAUGAAGGAUCUCCCUGUGUUCUGAGGAUCCAGUCACCUUGGGGAUAGAUUUCUGGCCUGGGGUUCCAAGAGCACAGGCUUCAGACUGGAACCAAGACCCCACUACACUCACAGCAUCAGAGCCACACAGAUGCUGCUGCUGCUGCUUCUGAACUUCCUCUUCAGGCCACAACCCAAAGCCUGCAACCCCUCCUCACUCAGCCCUGGAUCUGCGACCCAGAAAUGGAGCGUGAGCAACAGACCUGGCACUUGACAGCUAUUUCUGAA